rnacentral:misc_RNA from 1 species
GAUGAAGAACGUAGCGAAAUGCGAUAAGUAGUGUGAAUUGCAGAAUUCAGUGAAUCAUCGAAUCUUUGAACGCACAUUGCGCCCCUUGGUAUUCCAUGGGGCAUGCCUGUUCGAGCGUUAUUUGUACCUUCAAGCUCUGCUUGGUGUUGGGUGUUUGUCUCGCCUCUGCGUGUAGACUCGCCUCAAAACAAUUGGCAGCCGGCGUAUUGAUUUCGGAGCGCAGUACAUCUCGCGCUUUGCACUCAUAACGACGACGUCCAAAAGUACAUUUUUACACUCUUGACCUCGGAUCAGGUAGGGAUACCCGCUGAACUUAAGCAUAUCAAUAAGCGGAGGA